CAGCAGCCGCGGUAAUACCGGCGGCCCGAGUGGCGGUCACUAUUAUUGGGCUUAAAGCGUCCGUAGCCGGGUUGGGAAGUCCUCCGGGAAAUCUGGCCGCUUAAAGGUCAGAAUGCCGGAGGAUACUCCCAGCCUAGGGAGCGGGAGAGGCCGAGGGGAUUCCCGGGGUAGGGGUGAAAUCCUAUAAUCCCGGGAGGACCACCUGUGGCGAAGGCGCUCGGCUGGAACGCGUCCGACGGUGAGGGACGAAGGCCAGGGGAGCAAACCGGAUUAGAUACCCGGGUAGUCCUGGCUGUAAACGAUGCGGACUUUGUGUCGGACAAGCUAUGAGCUUGUCCGGUGCCGGAGGGAAACCGUUAAGUCCGCCGCCUGGGGAGUACGGCCGCAAGGCUGAAACUUAAAGGAAUUGGCGGG
rnacentral:rRNA from 1 species